UGGUAUAUUGAUUGCCUUGGGCUUACUUUCAACCUUCCUAUGUAUGUUGAACUCACUAGGAUUGUUUACCACAGUUUUCGGAGUUCAAUAUUCACUUAGGAUCAACAUUUCAGCCAGCAAUUCAAUCACCAAAACUCAAAUUCACAAUAGACACAAUCAUAAAGAAACCUAAAAGUUCAAGAAAAGGUUCACAAUCAAAGACUCUCUAAGAAUUUUG
rnacentral:lncRNA from 1 species